rnacentral:rRNA from 1 species
UGAGGAAUAUUGGUCAAUGGCCGAGAGGCUGAACCAGCCAAGUCGCGUGAGGGAUGAAGGUUCUAUGGAUCGUAAACCUCUUUUAUAAGGGAAUAAAGUGCGGGACGUGUCCCGUUUUGUAUGUACCUUAUGAAUAAGGAUCGGCUAACUCCGUGCCAGCAGCCGCGGUAAUACGGAGGAUCCGAGCGUUAUCCGGAUUUAUUGGGUUUAAAGGGUGCGUAGGCGGCCUUUUAAGUCAGCGGUGAAAGUCUGUGGCUCAACCAUAGAAUUGCCGUUGAAACUGGGGGGCUUGAGUAUGUUUGAGGCAGGCGGAAUGCGUGGUGUAGCGGUGAAAUGCAUAGAUAUCACGCAGAACCCCGAUUGCGAAGGCAGCCUGCCAAGCCAUUACUGACGCUGAUGCACGAAAGCGUGGGGAUCAAACAGG